ensembl:lncRNA
CCUUAAGUGGAAUAAGAACAGACAGAUUUGGCUAGCGGACUAUGAUGGAUGGCUCAAAAAUGCUUAAAAAUGUAAUACAGGUGGGGUGGAGGGAUGCUGCAUAAAUUGUCAUAGGAGCACGGUGUUGGGCAGUUUUAGAGAUUGUUCCCCAGAUGGCCGUAGAGUCACUGCUGGAGGAGAAACUCUUAAAUAGCAGUGCAGGACAAAUAGAGACUCAUCCAGUACACACAUUUAUCUACUCCAGCAUCUCCCUAGAGGAAUGCUUUCUCACGCAGCCAUUUUCACAUUUUCACCCCGGCACAAACUUCAAGUGAUGAUCCGUGCGUCGUAUGAUUGACUAAGCAGCACUUAAGCAGGUGAGGACCCUGUAAAUAAGCUUUUCCCUCAGAAAUGAUCUUGCUUUAGGCCCCUCCCUCCAUCUCGAGCUCUCCGCGGAUGGAUUCUGUCACCUGGAGAUCGCCGUGUUCUGCUUUCUGCAUCCC